rnacentral:rRNA from 1 species
UAAUACGGGGGUUCCUAGCGUUGUUCGGAUUUACUGGGCGUAAAGGGAGCGCAGGCGGAUUGGUCAGUCCAAAGUGGAAUCCCGGGGCUCAACCUCGGAAGUGCUUUGGAUACUGCCAGUCUUGAGUUCGUGAGAGGAAAGCGGAAUUCAGGGUGUAGCGGUGAAAUGCUUAGAUAUCCUGAGGAACACCAAUGGCGAAAGCAGCUUUCUGGCACGUGGCUGACGCUGAGGCUCGAAAGCGUGGGUAGCGAACGGGAUUAGAUACCCCGGUAGUCCACGCCGUAAACGUUGUCAACUAGGUGCAGGGGGUAUCGACCCCCUCUGUGCCGCAGCUAACGCAUUAAGUUGACCGCCUGGGGAGUACGGUCGCAAGGCUG